rnacentral:rRNA from 1 species
CUUGGUCAUUUAGAGGAAGUAAAAGUCGUAACAAGGUUUCCGUAGGUGAACCUGCGGAAGGAUCAUUAAAAAUGAAGCCGGGAAACCGGUCCUUCAAACCCUUGAUUAUUAUUCACUUGUUGCUUUGGUGGGCCGCGAGAGCUUAUGCUUGAGCACCGGCUUUCGGGCUGGAGAGUGCCUGCCAGAGGACCCAACUCUGUAUUUUAGUGUCGUCUGAGUACUAUAAAAUAGUUAAAACUUUCAACAACGGAUCUCUUGGUUCUGGCAUCGAUGAAGAACGCAGCGAAAUGCGAUAAGUAAUGUGAAUUGCAGAAUUCAGUGAAUCACCGAAUCUUUGAACGCACAUUGCGCCCUCUGGUAUUCCGGAGGGCAUGCCUGUUCGAGCGUCAUAAUGACCAACUCACCGUAAUGGUGGUCUUGGGGAUGGCUGACUAGCCUCCCUUAAAAUCAGUGGCGGUGCUGUCAAGCUCUAAGCGUAGUAAUUUUCUCGCUAUAGGGUCUUGAUGGUGACUUGCCAUAACCCCAACUCUUAAGGUUGACCUCGGAUCAGGUAGGGAUACCCGCUGAACUUAAGCAUAUCAAUAAGCGGAGGA